rnacentral:rRNA from 1 species
AGCGAACGCUGGCGGCAGGCUUAACACAUGCAAGUCGAACGCCCCGCAAGGGGAGUGGCAGACGGGUGAGUAACACGUGGGAACGGACCCGUUGGUUCGGAAUAAGCUGGGGAAACUCACGCUAAUACCGGAGAAGCCCUUAUGGGGAAAGGUUUACUGCCGAAGGAGCGGCCCGCGUCUGAUGAGCUAGUUGGUGAGGUAACGACUCACCAAGGCGACGAUCAGUAGCUGGUCUGAGAGGAUGACCGGCCACACUGGGACUGAGACACGGCCCAGACUCCUACGGGAGGCAGCAGUGGGGAAUAUUGGACAAUGGGGGCAACCCUGAUCCAGCCAUGCCGCGCGAGUGAUGAAGGCCUUAGGGUUGUAAAGCUCUUUUACCCGGGACGAUAAUGACUGUACCGGGAGAAUAAGCCCCGGCUAACUUCGUGCCAGCCGCCGCGGUAA